rnacentral:tRNA from 1 species
GGAGAGAUGGCUGAGCGGUUGAAAGCACCGGUCUUGAAAACCGGAGACCUCGCAAGGGGUCCGGGGGUUCGAAUCCCUCUCUCUCCGCCA